UACGUAGGGCGCGAGCGUUGUCCGGAAUUAUUGGGCGUAAAGAGCUCGUAGGCGGCCUGUUGCGUCCGCUGUGAAAUCCCGGGGCUCAACCCUGGGCCUGCAUUCGAUACGGGCAGACUAGAGUGUGGCAGGGGAGACUGGAAUUCCUGGUGUAGCGGUGAAAUGCGCAGAUAUCAGGAGGAACACCGGUGGCGAAGGCGGGUCUCUGGGCCAAUACUGACGCUGAGGAGCGAAAGCGUGGGGAGCGAACAGG
rnacentral:rRNA from 1 species